UACGUAGGGGGCAAGCGUUGUCCGGAAUUAUUGGGCGUAAAGAGCUCGUAGGCGGUCUGUCGCGUCGGUCGUGAAAACUUGGGGCUUAACCCCGAGCUUGCGGUCGAUACGGGCAUGACUGGAGUUCGGCAGGGGAGACUGGAAUUCCUGGUGUAGCGGUGAAAUGCGCAGAUACUCAGGAGGAACACCGGUGGCGAAGGCGGUUCUCUGGGCAUGAUCUGACGCUGAGGAGCGAAAGUGUGGGGAGCGAACAGG
rnacentral:rRNA from 1 species